rnacentral:lncRNA from 1 species
AUAGCUUAGUGGAUGGAGUACUAGGCAAAUCAAUGUCCCCUCUUGCAACUCUUUAAGAUGAAUGCUAUUGUUAUGCUGUUGGCUUUUUAGGUAAUGCCACCUUGCUCCAUUAUUAAUUCUUUUCUCCAUCCUUGUCUGAGAGGACACCAUGCAACUAGCGCCCCUUGAUAAAGCUUCAUAAAGCUUAGCUUUAUAACCCCCCAUACUUGGCCAGUAUCCAUGAUCCUUUCACAUGUCAAUAGUGUGGCCAUCAUAAUAUUUGUCUCCUUAAUAUAUAUCUGCUGUCUAUCUAUUUAUUUGUUUCAAAUAUAGAAUGCCAAAUAAUUGGUCUGUGACCAUGAAUCCAUGAUCAUAUAAAU